UACGUAGGGUGCAAGCGUUAAUCGGAAUAACUGGGCGUAAAGGGUGCGCAGGCGGUGAGUUAAGACGGAUGUGAAAGCCCUGGGCUCAACCUGGGAACGGCAUUCGUGACUGGCUGGCUAGAAUAUGGCAGAGGGAGGUGAAAUUCCACGUGUAGCAGUGAAAUGCGUAGAGCUGUGGAGGAAUACCGAUGGCGAAGGCAGCCUCCUGGGCCGAUAUUGACGCUGAGGCACGAAAGCGUGGGGAGCAAACAGG
rnacentral:rRNA from 1 species